rnacentral:rRNA from 1 species
AUUGAACGCUGGCGGCAUGCUUUACACAUGCAAGUCGAACGGUAACAGGCCUUCGGGUGCUGACGAGUGGCGCACGGGUGAGUAAUGCAUCGGAACGUGCCCAGAGGUUGGGGAUAACGCAGCGAAAGCUGUUCUAAUACCGCAUGUGAUCUGAGGAUGAAAGCGGGGGACCAAGCAGCAAUGUUUGGUCUCGCGCCUCUGGAUCGGCCGAUGUCAGAUUAGUUAGUUGGUGGGGUAAAGGCCUACCAAGCCGACGAUCUGUAGCUGGUCUGAGAGGACGACCAGCAACACUGGGAAUAAGACACGGCCCAGACUCCUAAGGGAGGCAGCAGUGGGGAAUUUUGGACAAUGGGCGGAAGCCUGAUCCAGCAAUGCCGCGUGCGGGAAGAAGGCCUUCGGGUUGUAAACCGAUUUUGUACGGAACGAAAAGGCUCUGGCUAAUACCUGGGGCUGAUGACGGUACAGUAAGAAUAAGCACCGGCUAACUACGUG